GAGUUUGAUCAUGGCUCAGGACGAACGCUGGCGGCGCGCUUAACACAUGCAAGUCGUACGGGGCUGUUCCUUCGGGGAUGGUCCAGUGGCGAACGGGUGCGUAACACGUGAGCAACCUGCCUCGGGGUGGGGGAUAACCCGUGGAAACGCGGGCUAAUACCGCAUGACCUCGCCACCUCGAUUGUGGAGGCGAGGAAAGGUGCUGAAAGGCACUGCCUUGAGAGGGGCUCGCGGCGUAUCAGGUAGAUGGUGGGGUAACGGCCUACCAUGCCGACGACGCGUAGCCGAUCUGAGAGGAUGAUCGGCCACAUUGGGACUGAGAUACGGCCCAGACUCCUACGGGAGGCAGCAGUGGGGAAUCUUGCGCAAUGGGCGAAAGCCUGACGCAGCGACGCCGCGUGCGGGAGGAAGCCCUCGGGGUGUAAACCGCUGUCAGAGGGGAAGGAUGGUCACCCGAGGAAAUGCGGGUGAUGUGACGGUACCCUCAGAGGAAGCACCGGCUAACUCUGUGCCAGC
rnacentral:rRNA from 1 species